rnacentral:rRNA from 1 species
ACCUUUGCAAUACACGCAAGUGUGACAGGGUCAUCCCGAGUGCCGACCGCUGAGGUUGGCUUUUACCCAGUCUAGAAAGCUGGGGGAAUAAGGAGAGGGCAAGUCUGGUGUCAGCCGCCGCGGUAAUACCAGCACCCCGAGUUGUCGGGACGAUUAUUGGGCCUAAAGCAUCCGUAGCCUGUUCUGCAAGUCCUCCGUUAAAUCCACCUGCUCAACGGAUGGGCUGCGGAGGAUACCGCAGAGCUAGGAGGCGGGAGAGGCAAACGGUACUCAGUGGGUAGGGGUAAAAUCCAUUGAUCUACUGAAGACCACCAGUGGCGAAGGCGGUUUGCCAGAACGCGCUCGACGGUGAGGGAUGAAAGCUGGGGGAGCAAACCGGAUUAGAUACCCGGGUAGUCCCAGCUGUAAACGAUGCAGACUCGGUGAUGGGUUGGCUUCGAGCCAACCCAGUGCCGCAGGGAAGCCGUUAAGUCUGCCGCCUGGGGAGUACGGUCGCAAGACUGAAACUUAA